rnacentral:lncRNA from 1 species
GGCAGGGCGGGGGCGCAGGCCACGCGGGGGCGCAGGGCGCGAGGGUGCGGCGCAGGCUGGGGUCCCGGCGGCGGGUCCUCGCGGCCGGUGCCGGCUCGUCUGGGACGCACGGGGCCGCGCCGCCAGAGGGCGUGCGCACCUCCCUUUCGCGCUCCGCAAGCCGAACUGCUUUGUACCGGGCAGGCGUCGGGGAUCGUUUUUGCUUUGGUAUCGGUGAUGUAAAUUCAUGAAUUAAAAUUAAGGAUUUUGAAAAGAACGGGGAAGAACGCACUUGGAUUUAGGUUGUUUUUGAAAAGGAAAAACCAAAGAGGAAAUGAUACGUUUGCAGGAGCAUUAACUGACUACUGACUGGAACAUUGGAUGCGGGUGCUUUGUGAAGAUUUGUACUCCAAAAACUUUUUUUAAAAAUUGCACGUUGGUAAAUAUUGAGUGUUUUCGAGUAAAAUCUAACAGUAUGUAUUUAGUGCCCUUAUUGCGGAAAUUUCUUAAAUGUAAGUAAUAGUAAGUCCGCCAUUUUGAAUUGUUUCAUGUAACACAGAAUGAAAUCUUAGGUGCCUGUGUUUCCUUGAGUUCCCUUCAGUUCUUUGUGGGUUUGUUUUCAUCCGUAGGUUUUUAAGGUUGCCAAGUGUCACUGUUCAUGGAACUAAAUUCUCCACUGUAGAUUUUUAUACCUAUUAUUGUUAAUGCAAGGGGAAAAUAAAUUAUACUCCUAUUCUAUUGUAGUUUUUUAUUUAUCGAUCACAAAUACUGUGGAAGUGAAAAUUACACCUGACAACUAGUAUUAGAAUGAAUUUAAAACGUUUUACAACAUUGCUGGGAAAAUAUGACUUAAAGUGAUUUUUAAUCAAGAAAAUAUUAAUGUUUCUUUUUUUGGUGCUGGUUAUUACCAUAUUUACUUAGAUAAUGCAAAAGUGCUUUUUUAAAAAGCACAUUUUUAC